UUACUUAUAUAUUUCUUGAAAUGAACUGAUUUGUAUUGAAUUCUGAGAAAAAUAUGUGAUUUUUCCAGACUUGGGAGUAUCUGGUGACUGCCUAAUAAAUUUUACAGCUACGCCUGCAAGCUCUGUCCUAGAUCCCACAUAAUUCUCCUGGGACAUUGGACAGAUCUUACUUCAAAAGAUAGCUGAAAAGGAAGAUGAACUGAAAAAAGCAUUUCAGAUGCUUGAUGUUGGUUGGACCCUGACAGUCACAAAGGGUGAAUUCAGGAGAGUGAUUGGAACCUUUCUCUUCCAUCUAACAGAAGCUGAAUUUGAUGCUGUGCUGGCAGAGAUUGAACAGCCACAGUCGCCAAACAAUGACAAUAAGUCAGCUGGAAACCCUGCUCAAGGAGAAGAUUGCAAAGAAUGUGAAAAACAUUAUCAGAUGCUGCAGACUUUUUGACUACAGCCGUGCAGGAUGGAUACAGAGGCACACACUAAAGCAAAUUCUUAAGACCACCUGUUUCAGGAUGAAGGACUCAGAACUUGAGAAGUAAGUAAAGAAACAGCCAUGAUUUUUCUGUGAGAGUAAUAAUAAUAAUAAUAAAUGAUGGGGCCUUUGUGAUC
rnacentral:lncRNA from 1 species